rnacentral:rRNA from 1 species
UAGAAGCAGCCAUCAUUUAAAGAAAGCGUAAUAGCUCACUGGUCGAGUCGGCCUGCGCGGAAGAUGUAACGGGGCUAAACCAUGCACCGAAGCUGCGGCAGCGACGUUUAUGCGUUGUUGGGUAGGGGAGCGUUCUGUAAGCCUGCGAAGGUGGCCUGUGAGGGUUGCUGGAGGUAUCAGAAGUGCGAAUGCUGACAUAAGUAACGAUAAAGCGGGUGAAAAGCCCGCUCGCCGGAAGACCAAGGGUUCCUGUCCAACGUUAAUCGGGGCAGGGUGAGUCGACCCCUAAGGCGAGGCCGAAAGGCGUAGUCGAUGGGAAACGGGUUAAUAUUCCCGUACUUGGUGUUACUGCGAAGGGGGGACGGAGAAGGCUAUGUUGGCCGGGCGACGGUUGUCCCGGUUUAAGCGUGUAGGCUGGUUUUCCAGGCAAAUCCGGAAAAUCAAGGCUGAGGCGUGACGACGAGGCACUACGGUGCUGAAGCAACAAAUGCCCUGCUUCCAGGAAAAGCCUCUAAGCAUCAGGUAACAUCAAAUCGUACCCCAAACCGACACAGGUGGUCAGGUAGAGAAUACCAAGGCGCUUGAGAGAACUCGGGUGAAGGAACUAGGCAAAAUGGUGCCGUAACUUCGGGAGAAGGCACGCUGACAC